rnacentral:lncRNA from 1 species
GGCUUGGUGAAGCAUUCAUACCUGUGUUGAGGUUCCAGAAGUUUCUGCCAUGGGGAGGAAUCAGGGUUAUUACAGGAGAAUAGCAGACCCAUCCUGCUCCUCCUCUAGAAAGUCAGAUCUCUCUGGAAGAUGGAGUGUGGAUUUCCAGCGCUGGUACCUCUGGGAAAACGCCUGACUUAAACGACCUUCCUUUUGCGGCCUGGAGGAAGCUGGAUCUUCUUCUCUGCUUUUUCUUCUGCAUUUCAGCUUUCAGCCAGGCCAGUGUGGUACAGUAUAUCCAUGAUCUAUAUGUACACUAGGAGAAUGGAGCCACAGUAAGUAAUACAAAAAGCCAUUUCUUCUGCGGCUUGAUUAAAACUGUCCGCUUGUCAUUGCUUGGUUGUCAGCUUGAGUGUGUCUCUGUAACUUCUUCUCCGUGGCUCACCUCCAUCCAUCACUGUGCAGAGCACAGAAGGACGCGUAUAUGUACUGCCCUGUGCUUGCUUAGGCCUUAGUAAAUAUCAAUUCAUCAUCAACUUGGCUUUAAAAGAGACCAUUCACUGGCCCCUUAGAACAUGACAAUUUACCCAGUGUUCCCUGGUGCUAAAGAAGUCACAUGACCGGAUCUGAAAACAAAAAGACUCCCACAAUAUGUUCUUAGAGUUAUUAAUAAAAAUGAGUGCUGAUUGACAGGAAAGGCAUAUAG